UCCUCCUUAGCUCAGCUGGUUAGAGCAUCUGACUGUUAAUCAGAGGGUCGCUGGUUCAAGUCCAGCAGGGGGAGCCA
rnacentral:tRNA from 1 species